AAAAGCAAUGCAACUGAUUUCCACACUAUGAAAACAUUUGGAGCCUGCUGUAUGUGUAUAUUUAUAUAUUUGUAAUUUUUAAAGCUCUAGCAAGAACCUUAUCUUUUUUCCCUAAAAUGCCUUUAACAUUCUUAGUCUAGCUGAGUGAAGAUAGCCACAAUCCUGGCUCAGUAUAGUCACUUGUAAUUACCUUCAGGUGCAAAAGAGUUCUUAAUGCUUCAAAUUCUCUUUCCACUGUAUUGAAGUAAAUAGAUGUAAUUUAUUAUUGAAAGCGCUGCUGCUAUGCCGAUGUAGUGGGUGGGAGUUGACAUUUGGGAUAUUGUGUAAUGUAUAAUGAGUCUGAAAUGAGUGGUUCUGAUCCAGUCAGCAUCACAGGCAAUUUCCCGGGUAAGGAAAAAUGCCUGCAAAUUAAGUUGCAUAUCUUCACGAAGGCAGGGAAUGGCAUAAACUGUGGAAAUAUUGAUUCUGAUUCUGCUUUUCUUAGAAACUGCUCUGGAUGUGUAUUCAGAAACAUGUUUUCUCUGAGACAGAACCCUAUAUUUUCAGCCAGAAAGAUGUUUGAAAGGCAUCUUUGCAGGCUUUAAAGCUCCCAACAAAGGAAUCAAGAGGGAUGGAAUGGCACUGAGAUAACAUCCGACUGUCUGAUAGAAACGGUGCUGUCAGAGGGAAUCUGUAUUCCUGUGCAAGAACUGCUUGCCUGGAUUUCCAAGACUGGCCACAAAAAUGCCUCAUGGAGUCAACCAUAAAUCAAACAGAAAGGACUCACCUGCAUAGAAAAUAGAAUAUGUAGCUUCCUAUAGUGAAACAUAAAUCAACUGGGCAGAGCAAUGGCAUAACAUUGUAUUGCAUGUGCUUCAAAAUGGCAGAGAAAUGUGCAAAGUUACUUACUAUCUUAAUUUCUACCUUGCUUCAUUUCCCUGAGGCAGAAGCAACACACUCUUCAGACACAUGGAAUUUGGAAAGACUUCUGUCAAGAGAUCUUUGAUAGUCAUACUUAUGGCUUCCUGAGAGACAUCCAUUCAAGGAGGCUUAUUUUGCUGCCUUCUUUCUGCUGAUCUCUUUUGAUUCAGAUGGGUGAUUCAUGCUGUCUCCUCCAGGAAGCCCUUGAUCUUCUGGAUAGAAUGAAUGACUCUCCUGCCAUGUGCCGUCCCACUUUGAUUGCAUUUUUCUUGAGGCAUCGUGUCCUUACACUACUAGCUGGGUACACGUUUGUCUCUUAAAAUAAAACUCUUCUCAAUGCAUGCAUUCAUUUAACAGACAGUUACCAAGCACACUGAAUGGUAAACAUGCAGACCAUUCAUUCAGACACGCUACUCUGUCAGCUGUGUGUCCACGCACCUUCCAAGCACGGGGUUAUCAGAGGUGAACAAGGCACUGAGGCUCCUGCCUGGGGAAACCUAUACUGAGGGGAGAAAGUCAGUAAAUGAAAUAAUUCCUGUGGGUGAUAAGAGCCACAGCAGAAAUGAAAUAAUGAUGUGAUAGGAAGUAGCUAUGAGGAAUUUAAUUGCUUGACAAAUUCUUCUUGCCCACUGCACCCAGGAAACCAUUCACCGAGACCGUGGUAUUGCCGUAAAGAAAGCUUAGUAGACAUGAAGCCAGCCACAUGGAAGAGGGAGUUAUCACUUAAAUCAUCCUCCCCAAAGCCUUGUGGAGGUUAGAGUUUCUCAAUGAUAGUGAGCAGGGGAGGGAAGGGGGAAUGUUGAUUGGUUGGGAAUGCAAUCAUAGGGGUGUGAAAAACAGUCCUCAUGCACUGAGUUCACCUCUGGGUGGGGCCACAGGACCAGUUGAGUCCUGAGUCAAGGGUCUAGGUGGAGUCAGUUGGUUGCCAAAACUGCAAAAGUCUGAAAAGGCAUCUCAAAAGGCCAAACUUAGGUCCUUCAAUAGUGAUGUUAUCUACAGGAGCAAUUGGGUAGGUCACAAAUGUGACCUCAGAAACAGUGGCUGGUUAUUGUUACUAUGCCUACAUCUUAGCAGAAUUCAGUGCCUCAUAAUCCUAAUCUUGUGGGCUUUCACUUGUUUUAAAGGUGACUUCGUUUUAAGAAAGGUUAUUAUCAUCCUUGCUUUAAACUAUCAACUAAAUUCCUUCCAUGGUUAGCCUGGCGUAUGCCCAGGAAUGAGCGAGGACAGGCUGCAGAUGAGAAGCAAGAUGGAGUCAGCCAUACUAAGUUUCUCUGAUUGUCAUAUGCUUUGCAGAAGUGGUUACAGGAACUGGGGUUCAGAAACAGUUUAAGGAGGGGACAUUUUAGCUGAGAAUGAGGCAGCCACGAGAAGGGGGUGCAGGGGAGAGUGAGCCAGGGAGAGGGAAAACAAUUGCAACUUCCUGGAACGGGGGAGGAACAGUAUGGCUGAGGCCUGGGGGCUGGCACAGGCAGGAAAUAAGGUCAGGAGGGUGGGCAGGGGUCAGCCUGGCAGGACCUUGUGUCCCUGGGGAGCAGCUUAGCUUGCCUGUGCCAAAUGACCAGACUGGACAUCUUUUUUGUGUCCUUUGCAUGAUCUGUCCUUGAGAGAUGACCAGAAAGAUGUGGCCAAGUACCUGGAUAGUUUCAAGUGCUGUCAGUUAACAGGUGAGGACAUGUCAGAGAGUAGGCCACCCCUUCAAGCUGGCAUCAUUCCCUUGACUAAAGCUUUGAGUGGAGACCUAUGAUUUCCACAGUCAGAAGACACGCUAGACAAAGGGCGUCCAUCCAGUCUCAGUCCAGGGUGUGUACUUUCCCCACAAGGCUCUCACUCCAGAUCACACUCUCCAUACUCAUAUCCUAGCCUGAUAUUUUUUUUGUUGCUUCAACUCAGAAGUAGUGACUGCAUCUUGCUGACUCCUAUGCCAGGUGCACAGCAAACACUAAAUCAGGAGGUGCAGACUCACAUGCUCUGUGGGGCCAGGUAAGUGGCAUGGACGAGCAGGACCUCAGCAUCUGGGAGGAAGACCAAAGACCCAGGCAGCAGGAGGAGUCUUGCUGACCACUCAG
rnacentral:lncRNA from 1 species